UGGGGAAUAUUGCACAAUGGGCGCAAGCCUGAUGCAGCCAUGCCGCGUGUAUGAAGAAGGCCUUCGGGUUGUAAAGUACUUUCAGUCGGGAGGAAGGUGUCAAGGUUAAUAACCUCACCGAUUGACGUUACCCGCAGAAGAAGCACCUGCUAACUCCGUGCCAGCAGCCGCGGUAAUACGGAGGGUGCAAGCGUUAAUCGGAAUUACUGGGCGUAAAGCGCACGCAGGCGGUCUGUCAAGUCGGAUGUGAAAUCCCCGGGCUCAACCUGAGAACUGCGUUCGAAACUGGCAGGCUAGAGUCUUGUAGAGGAGGGUAGAAUUCCAGGUGUAGCGGUGAAAUGCGUAGAGAUCUAGGUGAAUACCAGUGGCGAAGGCGGCCCCCUGGACAAAGACUGACGCUCAGGUGCGAAAGCGUGGGGAGCAAACAGG
rnacentral:rRNA from 1 species